rnacentral:rRNA from 1 species
UGGGGAAUCUUGCACAAUGGGCGAAAGCCUGAUGCAGCAACGCCGCGUGCGGGAAGACAGCCCUAGGGUUGUAAACCGCUUUCAGCAGGGAAGAAACUGACGGUACCUGCAGAAGAAGAUGCGGCCAACUACGUGCCAGCAGCCGCGGUGACACGUAGGCAUCAAGCGUUAUCCGGAUUUAUUGGGCGUAAAGAGCUCGUAGGCGGUUCGGUAAGUCGGGUGUGAAAACUCUGGGCUCAACCCAGAGAGGCCACUCGAUACUGCUGUGACUAGAGUGCGGUAGGGGAGCGGGGAAUUCCUGGUGUAGCGGUGAAAUGCGCAGAUAUCAGGAGGAACACCAGUGGCGAAGGCGCUGCUCUGGGCUGUAACUGACGCUGAGGAGCGAAAGCAUGGGUAGCAAACAGGAUUAGAUACCCUGGUAGUCCAUGCCGUAAACGUUGGGCACUAGGUGUGGGUCUCAACCAACGAGAUCCGCGCCGUCGCUAACGCA